CAAUAGCGUAUAUUAAAGUUGUUGCAGUUAAAAAGCUCGUAGUUGGAUUUCUGGUGGGAGCGAUCGGUCUGGCGCUUAGCGCGAGUACUUGCAUCGUCUCCGGCCAUCCUUGGGGAGAGUCUGUCUGGCAUUAGGUUGUCGGGCAGAGGAUCCUCAUCGUUUACUGUGAAAAAAUUAGAGUGUUCAAAGCAGGCUUAUGCCGUUGAAUAUAUUAGCAUGGAAUAAUAAGAUAGGACUUUGGUACUAUUUUGUUGGUUUGCGCACCAAAGUAAUGAUUAAUAGGGACAGUUGGGGGUAUUCGUAUUCCGUUGUCAGAGGUGAAAUUCUUGGAUUUACGGAAGACGAACUACUGCGAAAGCAUUUACCAAGGAUGUUUACAUUAA
rnacentral:rRNA from 1 species